AAUACUGGUGCACUUUUCCUGGACAAAAAUUGUCCCUUUCUUGACUGUCAAGAUCAAGACCAUAAGACCAAGAUACUGUCAUGUAAGCAAUCCCCAGAAAUUUGAUCCUCCAGUAGUCCAACUUGACCUAAAAAUUAAGCUGUUGGCUAAUUAGUAGCCAAAACUACAUGGCUUCCUAACUCAUGUGACAAGCACGUGACACGAGUAGUCACCACUCACCUGCCAGCCACUACCAGUUGCAGUAAUAAUAAGAUGGUGCCUAGGGAUCUUCAAUUCAUCAGCACUGCCGGCCUUUUGUUUUUUCACUUGCUGUGUGACUCAGCACCAGCAGCCAGUGAUCUCUUCACGUGCAUCAAGCAUGCCCUGCGUGGCUGUGUCAAAACUAGAUCAAGAUUCAAGAUCCGGACCACAGAUUUGCUUUCACCGCUAUUUCCAUCAUAAAAGGCCAGUGAUAGAGGAAAACACAGAAGUUAACUACUUGCACUGAAAUUUGGACAUGUCCAGUGACUGGCACAUGUGCAAAGAAGCAGCCACCGUCCAUUCAAAUUAGUGAACAGCCAUUAUCUGCAAUUCAGCAUAUCCUAUUAAGGACAACAGUGGUUGAAUAUAUGAUCAUCUCCUGCAUGUUGUAUUCUCAAACAAACAAAUAUAUAGAGUCAUCAGAAUCUGUCAGCAAAUAUUUGUCUUACUUUCCAGAUGCACUGUACUCUAAGAACAAUGACACUUGAACAAAUUUCGCACUAGAAUUUCUGAAGAUAUUAGUCAAGCAAUCCUAUCCAAACUUGCAAAAAUGCACUCACUCAGACAAACUUACCAUCAUUCUCUUCCUGCAGACACUCAAGAGGAGGCAGCCAAGGCCUAUGAUCUUGCAGCCAUUGAAUACCGAGGUGCCAAUGCUGUUACCAACUUUGACAUUAGCUGCUACCUGGACCACCCGCCGUUACUGGCGCAGCUACAACAGGAUCCACAGGUGGUGCCAGCACUCAACCAAGAACCUCAACCUGAUCAGAGCGAAACUACAGUCCAAGAGUCCGACUCAAGCGAAGAGAAGACACCUGAUAACAAUGCAGAACCUGGUGAUAAUGCAGAGCCUGAUGCUAAUGCAGAGCCUGAUAACAAUGCAGAGCCCCUCACAGUCGAUGACAGCAUUGAAGAGAGCUUAUGGAGCCCUUGCAUGGACUAUGAGCUGGAUACCAUGUCAAGAUCUAACUUUGGCAGCUCAAUCAACCUGAAUGAGUGGUUCACUGAUGCAGACUUCGAUAGCAACAUUGGGUGCCUGUUCGAUGGUUGUUCUUCGGUUGAUGAAGGCAGCAAGGAUGGUGUAGGUCUGGCAGAUUUCAGUUUGUUUGAAGAAGGCGAUGGUAAGCUGAAGGAUGUUAUUUCAGAUAUAGAAGAGGGAAUACAUCCUCCAACAAUGAUCAGUGUGUGCAAUUGAUCCUGAAACCUAUAUGUGCAUGUCUGUGGGAUCUCAGAUAUCCAAGGAGGUUUUCACUUUUCAGGUGUCUUUUCUUGGGUAUACUUGAUUUGUCCAAUGCCAUAAUGCCACUACAGCAAAGCUGAACUUGUAGAAAGCCCCAUGGCAUUUAGCUUGGCAUUAGACAAGUGUGUUAAUGUUCCUUGAUUCUUUGAAUUUGCUCCAGGCUGCUUGACUAACCUUGAGGGAUUGUCUCACUUAGCCUAGAUUCAACUAAUCACAUCCUGAUGAAUCUGAAAUGUGAUUUAAAUGGUUGUGUGGUAUCACAGUUGCAUGGCAGUGCUGCCAAUGCAGCAUAUAUUUGUGCGUUUCAAGAGUUUACAAGGCCGUAACCCUAAUAGCUCCAGCUUAAGGAACAUAGCUUCUUUUUUUAUUAUUAAUCUUGACAGAAGACCUUGUAUAAUUUUUGUUCAAUACAUGUGGCAUUUUUUUCAAAAGCAGAUAGUUUACCCAGAGACACUUAAAAGA
rnacentral:lncRNA from 1 species